rnacentral:rRNA from 1 species
GCUUGUCUCAAAGAUUAAGCCAUGCAUGUCUAAGUAUAAAUCGAAACGAUGAAACCGCAAACGGCUCAUUACACCAGCAGUAAUCUAUUUGACCUUGAUAACCUACUUGGAUAACUGUGGUAAUUCUAGAGCUAAUACAUGCGCUAAAACUCCAACCGCAAGGGAGGAGUGCAUUUGUUCGCCACAAAACCAAGCCCCUCCGGGGGUUUAGUGUUGAAUCAGAGCAACUAAGCUGAGCGCACGGUCUUGCACCGGCGCCGUAUCAUUCGAGCUUCUGCCCUAUCAACUUUCGACGGUAGUGUCUCUGGCUACCGUGGUGGUGACGGGUAACGGAGGAUCAGGGUUCGACUCCGGAGAAGGGGCCUGAGAAAUGGCCACUAUGUCUAAGGAUAGCAGCAGGCGCGCAAAUUACCCACUCUCAGCAUGAGGAGGUAGUGACGAGAAAUAACGAGGCCGUUCUCAUACGAGGCCGGCCAUUGGAAUGGAAGAGGUUCAAAACCCCCAUUGAGUAUCUACGAGAGGGCAAGUCUGGUGCCAGCAGCCGCGGUAAUUCCAGCUCUCGAAAUGCAUAGAACCAUUGCUGCGGUUAAAAAGCUCGUAGUUGGACUUAAGUCGCACCACCGGUCCAUCUUCGGAUGCGCACUGGUUGGCGUGGCUUUUGGCCGGUUUCAUCUGGCAGUUGGCUUCGCUGUCGGCUGUCAGGGACUGGCGAAUUUACCUUGAACAAAUCAGAGUGCUCAAAACAAGCGUUUGCUUGAAUGUUCUUGCAUGGAAUAAUAGAAGAGGAUCACGGUCCGAUUUUAUUGGCUUUGCGGACUGAGAUAAUGGUUAACAGAGACAAACGGGGGCAUUUGUAUUGCGGCGUGAGAGGUGAAAUUCUUGGACC